rnacentral:lncRNA from 1 species
CCUCCCUCCCUCUCUCCCUCCCUCCCUGUGAUGUGCAGCUUUGGCUCCUGCAGAGGAGCUGUAAGUUGGUCCCAGUACAUGGGGGUAGAAAUGCAGAAAUAGAACCUUGACAGAGGUUACCUUUUACCCUGUCUGAUGCAAAAAAACUUAAGGCCUUGGAAAAAGGUAUACAGCACUUCCACUUGCCUCUCUUCUUCAAAGAAACAAUGCCCUGUGAAUUUCAUGUUUCACAUUUAGAGAUAAAAUAACUUGGAGUAAUGUCUAAGAUGUUAAUUGUUCUUUCAGUUGGAUCCUUUGGACUGCUUUCUGUUUUCUAAUCAAAGUUUCAAGUGGGGUUGUUUUAUUUCCAGUUCAGAAUAUCAUGGAGAAAUGGGAAGUGUAAAUAAUACUUACCUCCUACAUAGUGAAUACUGUCACCAUUCCAGCUUUCUGGCAGUUUAGAGCCUGCCUGUGUUUGAGGGAAUAAUAAUUCUUUUUGCAAAUAAGGGUGGAGGGAGAGCUAGUGACCUGUUCAGAGGGUUAGAGUUUGUGGGUGAUCAGACUGUGGUCUCAACCCAGGUGAGAUCUCGCUUUGGCUGAGCAGUGGAGUGUGCUUACCAAAGCUGCUGAGAAGCUUGUAAUGACACCUUUGAUGCUGAAGAAAAUCCAGCUGUUUACUCAGAGAGAGAGGCAUUCCUUUCUGUUCCUGUAGAUCUGUUUGGUUGGUGCUGCUCAGUGUCCAGCUGUGGCAAUGCUGAGCUGGCAUUUCUGUGUCAAAUGGUUCUUCUGACUGGGCUUCUUUUCAACAGCGGCCUCCGGCACCUUGUCUGUUGUUAUGGGAAUGAGGUUUUACAACUCCAAAAAGGCAAUGCCCGGGAUAAUUGCCGGUGCCAGUUUACUGAUGGUUGGACGGCUUGGAUUGCAGAUGAUGGAAAAAACCUAUUAAGUCAUAAAUCUGCAUCAAGUGACUUGAAGACACAUGACUGAGAAGCCCAAGAAUGCAACUGCUGAAAUGUGCUGCACAUAAGUGGAAAAGACACUGCUACCUGUGCAUUGUAUUUUUCAUAUCCUAAUGCACACAGGUUGUGUUUUUAAAGGACCGACAUAGAGAGCCCUUGUAUUUGUCUUAACAUUUUCUGCACUGAAAGCAAGCAAGAAAAUAGAGUACAGCAUUAGUUUAGCUUCUGGUCCUGCAGCUUACUGUCAGCAAAGACCUGCUGGCCUUUGCAUUCAGAUAGUUGCAGGAUUGAAGCUUAAUUGCACAUCUAACUUGUCCUUCUGAAAUCCUGUAUACCUCUAAAACCAGGGGAGAGGAGUUGCAAUUUGUCACUAAUUAAUUAAUUAAACUGAGUAAUUAAUGCAAUAAACGUGCUUAUGAUGUUCCA